rnacentral:lncRNA from 1 species
UCAUGACGUGGCCAAGCCUGGUCUGCCUUUACCAUUGUCCACUUCUCAGCUAGUUCCCUCUUAGCCACAGCUACACCCACGGGUGGGUUCCCUGCAUGCCUCACCCCAAGAGGUGGAAGGCUUAGCUAACUUGAUCAUUGCAGAUGAAGCUGCCCAGCUCUGUGGGUCAGAAGAAGAUCAAGGCGCUGGAACAGAUGCUGCUGGAACUUGGUGUGGAGCUGAGCCCUACGCCCACAGAGGAGCUGGUGCAUAUGUUCAAUGAGUUGCGGAGUGACCUGGUGUUACUCUACGAGCUCAAGCAGGCCUGUGCCAACUGUGAAUAUGAGCUGCAGAUGCUACGGCACCGGCAUGAGGCUCUGGCUCGGGCAGGAGUGCUGGGGGGCCCUGCCACACCAGCAGUGGGACCAACCCCAGCGUCUGCUGAGCCAACAGUGUCUGAAUCUGGACUUGGUCUUGACCCUAGCAAGGACACCAUCAUUGAUGUCGUGGGUGCACCGCUCACACCCAAUUCGCGGAAACGACGGGAAUCAGCCUCCAGCUCAUCUUCUGUGAAGAAAGCCAAGAAACCAUAAGGGGCCAUCAGAGUUGGUGGUAUGGUGUAAAUAGAGCUGUUAAGUUGGACUG